rnacentral:rRNA from 1 species
GUCCGAUCGGGGUCGUCGGCUCCGCCUGCUUCAACCACUGCCGGUGGUUUCCCUCCGUCGGCGGCCCCCGAGAUCACCUCUCUGACUCAGAUCCUCUCCUCUGGAGUCAAAUCCUCAUCAGCCUCGACGCAUCAACGGCGAUUAGCUAAUUAGUAUUUCCGUCCGUCCAGAACAACGCGGCCCGCUCCCAAUGAUCAUCCCGUCCCGUUGUUCCCGUUGCCCUCAGUUGACGAUAGCUGUGCACGCACUGUGCUACACGUCGUCGUCGGCUACCUUUGUCCACGACACUAUAUAGCUGUCGCUGAGCUCGAGACUUCCUCUCAUUCUCUUUCCACAUCGCCCCGAGAUCCAUCUGCUCCGUUUCUUGGGUUUCUCGGCGCUUUGGUGCUUCGCUACGCAUCCCGUUGCCCUUGUUGACACCAGGAGAAUCCGGGGGCUUCACGAGGGGACUAGCUAGCUGGAGUUUGGAAGCGAUCAUUCUAUGACGAUCUGCGCGGGCUUCGAUUCCUACCGGGCGUCGCCGGCGGACAUGCGAGUCGUGACGUCGGACGGGCAGAGCAUCGCCGCGCAUUCCUACGUUCUUGCCUCGGCGUCGCCGGUGCUGGAGCGGAUGAUCGACAGGGCGCAGCGCGGGUGGGGCGCCGAGUGCACCAUCCCCGUCCUCGGCGUCUCCUUCGACGCCGUCCACGCCUUCAUCCACUUCCUCUACUCCUCCAAGUCCAAGGUGGUGCCCGCGGAGGAGGAGGCGGUGGGCGCCAACUGGGCGCAGCUGCUGGCGCUGGCGCACGCGUACCGGGUGGGGUGGCUGAAGCGGGCGGCGGAGGCGGCCGUGUCGGCGCGCCUGACGCCGGAGCGCGCCGUGGACAUGCUGAAGCUGGCGAGGCUCUGCGACGCGCCGCGGCUGUACAUGCGGUGCGCGCGCCUCGCGGCCAAGGAGUUCGCCUCCGUGGAGCAGUCCGACGGGUGGCGCUUCGCGCGGCGCCACGACGCCGCGCUGGAGCUCGAGCUCCUCACGCUCCUCGAGGACGCCGACCAGCGGAAUGAGCGGUGGGCGCGCGAGCGGGCCGCGCAGGAGGCGUGCCGGCAGCUGGGCGAGGCCAUGGCCUCCCUCGAGCACAUCUUCCCCGGCGACUCCGGCGCCAAGGCCGGCUGCGCGGACGCGGACGCGCCGUGCGCGAGGGCAGGGUGCACGUGCCGGGGCCUGCAGGUGCUGAUGCGGCACUUCGCGACGUGCCCGAAAAAGAUGGCGCCCGGUGGGUGCGCGCGGUGCAAGCGCAUGCUGCAGCUCUUCCGGCUCCACGCCUCCGUCUGCGACCGGCCGGACCGGGCCUGCCGCGUGCCGCUCUGCAGCCAUUUCAAGGCCAAGGCGCAGACGGGGAAGGCGGACAAGACGUGGCGGCUCCUGGUGAAGAAGGUGACGAGGGCGAAGGUGAUGUCCUCCUUGGCCGAGAGGAAGGUGGUGCCGGAGGUCGUGGCCGAGUCAUGGGCGAGAUACAGCCGUAGAGGAGCCAAGUUGAGAUGAGAAGAGUCAUUUCUCUCGUCUUGGUCGUCUAGUUUAACCCUUGUCGUUAGCAACGAGGUGUUGUGAACUCAAGUUUAUGUACUAUCUAUCGUCUAUCAGUUAUAGCUAGUGAUAGUCUACUUAGCACAUGUCACUUAUGACUUGCGAUGGUUAAACUUUUUUCUUUUUUGCGAUGGUUAAACUAUAGUAGUGUUUACCGCUCAUCCAUGCUUUGUCUGAGAGACAGACACCCGUGCUUCUCAACCUCGAAAGCACACACCCAUGCUGCUCUGUUCCGUCGCAUGCGCCACGGUUACCAUGCGUCGGGACUGGUCCAGUAAGAUCCACCGACAUGCCCGACCCCAC